AGUGAACGCUGGCGGUAGGCCUAACACAUGCAAGUCGAACGGCAGCACAGUAAGAGCUUGCUCUUACGGGUGGCGAGUGGCGGACGUGUGAGGAAUACAUCGGACUCUACUUUUUCGUGGGGGAUAACGUAGGUAAACUUACUCUAAUACCGCAUACGACCUACGGUUGAAAGCAUGGGAUCUUCUGACCUUGCGCGAAUGAAUGAGCCGAUGUCGGGUUAGCUAGUUGGCGGGGUAAAGGCCCACCAAGGCGACGAUCCGUAGCUGGUCUGAGAGGAUGGUCGGCCACACUGGAACUGAGACACGGUCCAGACUCCUACGGGAGGCAGCAGUGGGGAAUAUUGGACAAUGGGCGCAAGCCUGAUCCAGCCAGACCGCGUGGGUGAAGAAGGCCUUCGGGUUGUAAAGCCCUUUUGUUGGGAAAGAAAAGCAGCAGGUUAAUACCCCGCUGUUCUGACGGUACCCAAAGAAUAAGCACCGGCUAACUUCGUG
rnacentral:rRNA from 1 species